rnacentral:tRNA from 1 species
GCGAUGGUGGCGGAAUUGGCAGACGCGCAGGAUUUAGGUUCCUGUCCCGCAAGGGGUGAGGGUUCGAUUCCCUCCCAUCGCA